UUAAAAUGAGAGUUUGAUCCUGGCUCAGGAUGAACGCUGGCGGCGUGCCUAAUACAUGCAAGUCGAACGCUUUGUCUUUAACUGAUAUGAAGAGCUUGCUCUGAUUUGAUUUUAUCUGACAAAGAGUGGCGAACGGGUGAGUAACACGUGGGUAACCUACCUCUUAGCAGGGGAUAACAUUUGGAAACAAGUGCUAAUACCGUAUAAUACCAACAACCGCAUGGUUGUUG
rnacentral:rRNA from 1 species